AGUACGCUGGCGGCUGCUUACACCUGCAGCUCGAAACGCUAUUUAUAGAGUGGCGCACGGGUGAGUAACGCGUGGGAAACUGCCCUUCUGAGUGGGAUAACGUUUGGAAACGAACGCUAAUACCACAUACGCCCUACGGGGGAAAGGUCCGCCGCAGAAGGAGGUGCCCGCGUCCGAUUAGCUAGUUGGUGAGGUAAUGGCUCACCAAGGCGACGAUCGGUAGCUGGUCUGAGAGGAUGAUCAGCCACACUGGGACUGAGACACGGCCCAGACUCCUACGGGAGGCAGCAGUGGGGAAUAUUGGACAAUGGGGGCAACCCUGAUCCAGCAAUGCCGAGUGUGUGAUGAAGGCCCUAGAGGUUGUAAAGCACUUUCACUGGUGAAGAUGAUGACGGUAGCCAGAGAAGAAGCCCCGGACUAACUUCGAUGCCAGCAGACCGCGGUAAUACGAAGGGGGCGAGCGUUAUUCGGAAUUACUGGGCGUACAAGGGAGCGCAGGCGGUUCAUUUAGUCACGACGUGAAAGCCCCGGGCUCAACCACGGGAGGUGCGUAUGAUACUGGUGAGCUAGGAAAUCAGAAGAGGAUACGUGGAAUUCCACAAGAUAGUAGAGGUGAAAUUCGUAAGAUAUCGGGAAGAAC
rnacentral:rRNA from 1 species